UACCUCCUGUCUGACUGAUUUAU
rnacentral:miRNA from 1 species